AGAUCUUCGAAUUAUUCGAAUAUCUAAAUUUUUUUUUUUUUCGAUUUUGUGCUAGAAAAAGUAUUCUGAUUAGAAUAUUCCUGAACCUUGUAGAGCAGUAGAAAGGAAGUAGUAAAAAAGCAUCGGUUUCACUAGCAGAGCCAGCUAGUUAAUAUGGAAGCAUUUUGGAAGAAAUUUAGAACGCAGGCGAUCAAACUACAGAAAGCAACAGAGACGUUAGAAUUUUUAAAUCAGUGCAAGCUGAACGGAGUUUUCCCGCUAACGUUUUGGAACAUAAAAUUACCAGUAGACUUCAAACGAAUCCUCCUUAAUACUAGAAGAAUAUGCUUAAAAGCAGCGAUAACGAAAACGAGAAGGAAGGUUUUCCAGGUGGCAGAAAAGAAACGCCAACUACGUCC
rnacentral:lncRNA from 1 species